rnacentral:lncRNA from 1 species
CUAAACUUAGAAGUUUAUGAUUUAGAAGGACUAAAAAUAUAUUAAACCCUAAAACUUUUUAUCAUAAGCAUUACAAUUGGAUAGCGAACUAAAUUUACAUGGCUCUGUUAGUAACACCAUGACAUUCACUCCAGUACAACACCAUCAUUGAUAAUCAUAACUAAUAAUAAUUGUUUAUAAAUAUAAUUAAACAUGGGUUAUUUCAAGCACUGCUCUCAAUUUGGACUAAGAUAUAGAUAGAUACUCUAGAAACAGUAUGUAAGUAAUGUAUUGCAUGGUACAGCUGUUGCUCUCUGUCCAAGUAAUUAGUAUAGGGUAUGCUGCAGAUCAUAAAGCCAAAAUUUCAAACAACUUUGACUCAGCCCCUAGAUGUUCUUAAUUUGAACAUUAAAAAGGAAGUAGCAAAAGAAACACUAACAUAAUAUAUAAGAAACUCAAAGCCUAUAAAACUUAAUUAUCACAUCAAUAUAAUGUUAAUAGAGAUAGUCAAAAAGAAGCGGUUGGAAGCUUGAACCAAGUGCAUCAAUUCAGACUAGUAAUUAAUAAUUCCUCUUUACUAAAUGUCAUCAUCAUUGUCCUCUUUCCUCCGUACGUUCCUAUCUUCUCUCUUCAUCUUGUUCUCUACGACAACUUUCACCAAAUCCAAAAUUAGCUAGCUUUAGUGAAGGUUAAAAAACCUCUGGGGACCUCGGCAUCGGAUACUGGACCAAGGCUCACUACUCACUAACAACCAUUGAUUAACAAUGAUCCAACAAGUCACCAAGAAUCAAAGGAAGCAUAAAAUAAAUUACACAAACAAAAACUAACCAUUUAUUUAUAUGUUGUAGUUGAAUACCUACUUAAGUUGAUAUCAAUGUAGACGUUAAUUUCGGCAUAUUUGUCUAUAAUUAUUUUGAAACUCAGGAAUAUUCAAAGUACUAGUCUUGGAAUCAUAAACAACCAACUUCAUUGAGAGACUAUUGUGAUCACACGAUUUACAUUCAAAGACCAAAAUAACUAUUAUUUUACCUCCUUCUUUUAGAGCUUCUCAUGUCAAUUUUAAAAGUAUAAUUUUUAUCCUUCAAAAAAAAAAAAAAGUAUAAUUUUUGAACACUUUUUUUUGUUAUAUUUGCAUUGCAUUCUUACUCUCUCUAUUCUUUUUGACCAAUAAAAAGAAAAAAAAUAAAAAUUGAGUCAAAAGUUAUCAUAAAAUAGUAUUACUCUUAUAAGAAAUAAGAAAUACUUAGGCACAACACCAAAUAAAAAUAUUUGAACACAUACAUAAAAUUAUUUUUGUGAGUGUGUCGAAAUAAUGUUAAACAUGGUUAGAAAUAUCCUUAUGAAGAACUAAUUGCUCAUACAUAGAUUACUCAUCUAACAAAUCUAGUUUUACAAUGACAUCUAUCUAAAAUGGGGUUCAAUCAAAUCCCUCAUGGAAAACAUAAGUCGCUUCGCUGCCCAAUAUACUUUACAUAAAAUAAUACUGGAGUAGGAUCAAAACAUUCAUUCUCCGAGAUGUUUCACCGUUUGAAAAUGCUAAGUGAAAGUAUUAUUUUAUAUCAACUGAAUCCAAACUCAAGAAUUAAAAAUUACUUAUGGAAUUAUCAUGCUAGAUUUUACUUAUGAAGAUGUUUUUGAAGAUAAUGAUGAACCUGGUGCAUAACAUCUUCUAAAUGUUUUUUCCAACCGUCUACAUGUAGAAUUGAUGGCCAUAGGAUAUGACUUAGAAUUGGUUUGGAGCUCAGGUGGCUCUUUCUGAAAAAUAAAGGUAUCAAGGACUCUUACUCUAAGGAUGUGCUAUUGAAUCUACAUUAAAAUGAACUGAGUGGUAAUGGUAACCCAUAAUUGGAAACUGAAAAAUGAAUGUCCUAUAUGAUUAUUUCAGCACUAACAACACAUAAAAUUGCCAAGAAAUUAAUAAAAUGUUAAAUUGUUUAGAAAAUUGAUGACUAACAUGUAUGGAGGGAAGCUCUACAGAGCAGGAAACUAGGAUGACUAUAACUUGGACUUAUAUUAUUAUAAUGGGCCUAUCUUAGAUCGUUACAUUGCAUUCCACCAUCCAUCAAGGAAAACUAAAUUGUUUCCUCAAAAAUAAAAAAAUGCAAUUAAUAAAUAAAUUAUUUGAGAAAGAAAGAAGAAAUGUAAAAGAGGGGAAGUAAUUAAGUUAUUAUCAUUUCAAGUGAAAACUUGAAGAUGACGUGUUGUGUUAAAUUUUUCAGAUGGUAUAUAUAUUCAUUAGAUCGAAAAAUAAACUACAGGGAAAAAAGGAUGGAAGUCGAACAAAUUAACGUAUUUAUUUAUUAAUAUUUGUUAAUAUAUUAUAAAUGUUGUCGC